AUUGAACGCUGGCGGCAGGCCUAACACAUGCAAGUCGAGCGAGCGGCGGACGGGUGAGUAAUGUCUGGGAAACUGCCUGAUGGAGGGGGAUAACUACUGGAAACGGUAGCUAAUACCGCAUCCUAUCGGAUGUGCCCAGAGGGGAUUAGCUAGUAGGUGGGGUAACGGCUCACCUAGGCGAAGCUCCCUAGCUGGUCUGAGAGGAUGACCAGCCACACUGGAACGGAGACAAGGUCCAGACUCCUACGGGAGGCAGCGCUGGGGAAUAUUGCACAAGGGGCGCAAGCCUAAUGCAGCCAUGCCGCGUGGGGGAAGAGGGCCUUCGGGUUGUAAAGCUCUUUCAGCGGGGAGGCGUUACCCGCAGAAGAAGCACCGGCUAACUCCGUGCCAGCAGCCGCGGUAAUUC
rnacentral:rRNA from 1 species